rnacentral:rRNA from 1 species
CCUACGGGAGGCAGCAGUGAGGAAUAUUGGUCAAUGGGCGUACGCCUGAACCAGCCAAGUCGCGUGAGGGAUGACUGCUCUAUGGAUUGUAAACUUCUUUUAUAAGGGAAUAAAGUGAGGGACGUGUCCCGUUUUGUAUGUACUUUAUGAAUAAGGAUCGGCUAACUCCGUGCCAGCAGCCGCGGUAAUACGGAGGAUCCUAGCGUUAUCCGGCUUUAUUGGGUUUAAAGGGUGCGUAGGUGGCCGUUUAAGUCAGUUGUGAAAGUUUGCGGCUCAACCAUAGAAUUGCAAGUGAAACUGGCAGUCGUGAGUACAUUUGAGGCAGGCGGAAUGCGUGGUGUAGCGGUGAAAUGCUUAGAUAUCACGCAGAACCCCGAUUGCGAAGGCAGCUUACCAAGCCGUGACUGACACUGAUGCACGAAAGCGUGGGGAUCAAACAGGAUUAGAUACCCUUGUAGUC